UAGGGAAUCUUCCGCAAUGGACGCAAGUCUGACGGAGCAACGCCGCGUGAGUGAAGAAGGAUUUCGGUUCGUAAAACUCUGUUGUCAGAGAAGAACAGCGCAUUGAGUAACUGUUAUGCGUGUGACGGUAUCUAACCAGAAAGCCACGGCUAACUACGUGCCAGCAUCUGCGGUAUUACGUAGGUGUCUAGCGUUGUCCGGAUUUAUUGGGCGUAAAGCGAGCGCAGGCGGUCAAUUAAGUCAGAUGUGAAAGCCCCCGGCUCAACCGGGAAGUGUCAUUGGAACCUGGUUGAUUUGAGUGCAGAAGAGGAGAGCGAAGUUCCAUAUGUAGCGGAGAAUUGCGUAGAUAUAUGGAGGAAAACCAGUGGCGAAGGUAACUCACUAGUCUGUAAAUGACGAUGAGGUUCGAAAGCGUGGGUAGCAAACAGG
rnacentral:rRNA from 1 species